ensembl:snoRNA
UGUUCCUGACCUUAGUGGAAAUGCCCCUAGGGUUUUACAUUAAGGUGCUGCUCCAUAUCAAUCAAGAACAAAGCGACCCUUUGUUUAUGCCAGCUUGGCUUUUAGUCUGUGCCCAUGCCUGGUUUAUGUCUUGAACACAAGA